ACUGAAGGGCUUAUUUGUUAUGUUUUUAUAUUUGUUUUCAUUAAAGAAUUAUAAAUUUUAGUAUCGUAAGAGGAUAAAUUUUAGUAGUAAUAGUUUAUAAGUAUAGUGAUAGAAGGUUGAAAUAUAAGAAUAAUGAAGUUUAAAAAAGAAGAAUUGAUUUUUUGUACCUUGUGUCUCAGGGUCUAUAAAUUGAAAUUUAAUUAUUUAAUUUUCUCGAAUCAGAGAGAGCUAGGAAGAAGUUUAUUUUGUUGUUGCAAAAAUAUUUAAAACUUUUUCUUUGAAAUGAAACGUUAUUCGUUUUCUGAUAUAUCUAGUUUUUCGAGAAAUGAAUUUAAUUCAUCUUAUUUUAAGGGAAUUAUUAUAUUGUGUAUAAUUUCUUUUAUUAUUAGUAAUUUCUAAGGGGAUAAGCUUUUAGAAAGAUCUUUAAAAAAGCUUUAAGGGGGAAAAAUUGUAGAAUUAGUAUUAUUCAUCAUUUAGAUUAUGUUAUAAUUUAUUUUUCUUUUUAAAAGAUUUUUAUUUUUUUUAAGUUUUUUAUUGAAAUACUUUCUUUAAUUUUUAAGGAUAGGUAAUAAUGAUAGAAUUAGUAAAUUUUAUUGUAAUAGUAAUUUUAUUACUAAGGUUACUUUAAGGAAUUAGGCAAAUAUUUUCUCCGCCUGUUUAAUAAAAACAUGUCCUUUUGCUAAUGAUUUAAGGUCUAGCCUGCCCCAUGAGGAAUUAAAUGGCCGCGAUAUUUUGAUCGUGCGAAGGUAGCAUAAUCAAUAGUUUUUUAAUUGGAAGCUGGAAUGAAUGGUUGGACGAGAGAGAAGCUGUCUCAAUGUGAAUUAAUUUGAAUUUUAUUUUUAAGUGAGAAAGCUUAAAUGUCUUUUAAAGACGAGAAGACCCUAUAGAGUUUUAUAAGUAAUUAAUUAUUUAAUUUUAAGGAUAAAUUUUUUAAUAGUUUUUUAUUUAUUUAGUUGGGGUGACGGGAAAAUUAAGUAAACUUUUCUUUUUUAAAAUAUAUUUUUAUAGAUUUAUGAUCCAGAUUUUCUGAUCAGAAGAUUAAAUUACCUUAGGGAUAACAGCGUUAUUUCUUCAAAGAGUUCUUAUCGAAGAAGAAGUUUGCGACCUCGAUGUUGGAUUAAGAUUAAUUUCUGGUGCAGAAGCUAGGAUAUUAAGUCUGUUCGACUUUUAAAAUCUUACAUGAUCUGAGUUUAAACCGGCGUGAGCCAGGUUGGUUUCUAUCUUGAAUAAAAUAGAAUUUUCUAGUACGAAAGGACCGAAUAUUUGGUAUAUUAUUUUUAAUAGAAAACUAUUA
rnacentral:rRNA from 1 species